rfam:Felis catus cont1.662500, whole genome shotgun sequence.
GGAACUUUUAAAGGAUGGUCAUCCCUACUGUACUUGCUUAAUUUAUGGUGAAUUUUUGAAGUACAUCCACGUUUUCAGAACC